AUGGACUCCUCCUCCUCCUCCUCCGCCCACGGCAGCGGCGCCGGCGCCGGCCUGCUGGGCCGCGGCGGGGGCAAGGGCGGGAGCGGCACCGGCACCGGCAGCGGGAGCGGGAGCGGGAUCGGCGGGGACAGCACGUCGACCAUCGGCGGGGGCGGCGCGUCGGCGGAUGCGUGGACCCGGCUCGUCAGCUCCGGCGUGGAGGACGACCUGGUGUGCGCCGUGGGAGCCGGGCCUGGGUUCGGGGCGGGUGGCCUGCCGUACGGCUACUUCCUCGAUGCCUGCUUCCUCUGCCGGAAGCCGAUCGCCAGCAACCGCGACAUCUUCAUGUACAGAGGGGACAUCGCGUUCUGCAGCGAGGAGUGCAGGACGGAGCAGAUGGAGGCGGACGAGGAGAUGGAGAGGAAGGAGAAGAGCGCGUCCGCCAAGAAGCUGUCGCAGAGGCCGCCGUCCCUGGGCGAGGUGGAAUCCCCGCCGCGGCCGCCCAAGACCAGGGCCGGGUCAAUCCUCGCCGGCUGA
rnacentral:rRNA from 1 species